GCCAGUAGCUGUAUCACCCUGAAAUUCUCAAUUGGCAACCCACUGAAGUUAAACAGGUGUGAGCCUGGAUAGUACCUGGAUGGGAGACUUCCUGGAAAAAAACUAAGGUUGCUGUUGGAA
rnacentral:rRNA from 1 species